AAAGCAUCCUGUGUGUGCACCCCCAAAGCCCGUGCACCCCCUCAGCCAGCGCCCCGAUACCCCCGCGCCCCCUCCACCAUCAGCAAGGAUUUUCUCGUGUCUGAAGAUGUCUAUAUCCAGUAGACAACACUGAACCGUUACUAAGGAACUAUGUCAUGAUGACUGACCACUAUCAGGAUACGGUCCCUCUUGGGUGGCACCACUGACUAUAUAUCCCGCUACCGGUAUCACAACAGGUAUCGAUGUUCACGGCAAGUACAUCUGAUUCCUCCAGCUGGUGGUCUCGUGGUGAACAGACCGACCUGCUGGGAGACCUGUAGAUAUCCUGGUCUUGGAGGAACCUUCCAGCCUUCCAGGGCAGCAUUGUAGACCAGGACAACCUUCACCUAACCCUGUCUGAACAAAAAA